rnacentral:rRNA from 1 species
AGAGUUUGAUCCUGGCUCAGAUUGAACGCUGGCGGAAUGCUUUACACAUGCAAGUCGAGCGGCAGCGCGGGGCAACCUGGCGGCGAGCGGCGAACGGGUGAGUAAUGCAUCGGAACAUGUCCAUGUCGUGGGGGAUAGCCCGGCGAAAGCCGGAUUAAUACCGCAUACGACCUACGGGUGAAAGCGGGGGAUCGCAAGACCUCGCGCUAUUGAAGCGGCCGAUGGCAGAUUAGCUUGUUGGUGGGGUAAAGGCCCACCAAGGCGACGAUCUGUAGCUGGUCUGAGAGGACGACCAGCCACACUGGGACUGAGACACGGCCCAGACUCCUACGGGAGGCAGCAGUGGGGAAUUUUGGACAAUGGGCGCAAGCCUGAUCCAGCCAUGCCGCGUGCGGGAAGAAGGCCUUCGGGUUGUAAACCGCUUUUGUCAGGGAAGAAACGCACCGGUCUAAUACAUCGGUGUAAUGACGGUACCUGAAGAAUAAGCACCGGCUAACUACGUGCCAGCAGCCGCGGUAAUACGUAGGGUGCGAGCGUUAAUCGGAAUUACUGGGCGUAAAGCGUGCGCAGGCGGUUUUGUAAGCCAGAUGUGAAAUCCCCGGGCUUAACCUGGGAAUGGCAUUUGGGACUGCAAGGCUGGAGUGCGGCAGAGGAGACUGGAAUUCCUGGUGUAGCAGUGAAAUGCGUAGAUAUCAGGAGGAACACCGAUGGCGAAGGCAGGUCUCUGGGCUGACACUGACGCUCAUGCACGAAAGCGUGGGGAGCAAACAGGAUUA